AUUUUUAUUAUGAGAGUUCUAUAUUAUCAUUACUAGGAUAAAUUUUACUUAACAUGUUGUUGUCCAAAAUUAAAUAAACUAGUAUAGUAUUUGUAUAGGCAAGAACUAAAAAGACAUAAAUACAAGUAUGAAAAUGUGAAAGAAUAUAUAAACACUCGUGAUUCAUCAUUAUUCCUCUAGGAGUAAAUAAUGGUUACACUUACAUUAUCGUUUAGAUUUUUAAAAUCCUCCAAACUCUCAUGAAUAAUGUGUUUUAUUUGAGGGCAAAAUUAAUAAAAUUAAUAAUAAUUAUUGUAGAAGUGUAAAAAAUGUAAAAAAAAUAUACAAUCACUCAUAGUGACAAGCUUUACAACUUUCAUAAGAGGGUCAGCUUCUAAAUCCAACACUAUAAUCCAUAAACCUUAAAUUUAUAUUUAACCGUGGAUUGUCAUUUACACGUUAUUCUUCUUACUGAAUUUCAGUUUUUAAAUUUUCUUUUUUGAAAACAUGAUCAUCUAGCGGAUGUAAGAAGAUGAACGGUUCAGAUCUUUGAUAUCACGUUUCAACAUUUACGGUUAACUGAAAUAUGAGUCAAUGUCAUAUAGUUUGUAGAAACUUUAUAAACAUCAAGCAAUAUUUUCACUAACCGUAAAACUUUGAAUAUAAUAUCAACGAUCCAAACUGUUCAUCUUCAUGCAUCCUCUAAUAGAUCAUGUUUUCAAAAAGAAAAUCUGAAGAAAAAAAAUGUGAUGAGAACAAUGAAGCAUAAAUGUAAAUAGCAAUCAACAAUUAAAUUUUGAUCUAUGAUUUAUAUGAUUAUAAUGGCAAAUUUCGAAGUUAAUCUCUUCAUGAAAGUUGUAAAGCUUGUCAUUACAAGCAUUUCAAUAUUUUUUUCUAUAUUUUUUACACUUCUACAUUAAUUAAAAAAAUAUUAAAGACUUUACUUAAAUAAUAGCCGUAAGAUAAAUGAGAGUAAAUCUGUACCAUUGGAUUCUAUUUCACUUCUAUUAUUAGAACUUUUUUGAACGAAAAAACCCCUUAUCUAUGCCAAUAUUUUCCAAUUUUACCAUUUGAUAAAUUUAGAUAAGCGAAAAUAUACUUAAAAGAAAAUUGCGUUUUUAUGUUUUGGAUGUGACAAUAUGAUAUUGUUUUGGAUGUGACAAUAUGGUAUGUAUAUACUUAUUUAGUAUUAUGUUUUUCAUUUGAUUAUUUAUUGGUUUUAAAUAUAUUUUCCUUAAUGGGGUAACGGGUCGGGUCAUAUUACCUAUUAAUAUUAUCGGGUCGAUUUCAAGUUGGGUCAUUUUACCAGUUGAUUUUAACGGAUGCUACACGACACGACCCGUUAAGAUAUCGGGUAUGACAUGAAAAUGACACGAACAUGAAAAACAUGACACAAAUGUCAGGUCUAGCCCAAAGGCCAUGCGUCUCCUGCCAUUUCUCACCUACAGGCCUCACGGCCUAACCUAGCUAGCGCCAACCGCACCAACCCUCGGCCUAAGCCGAGCUGAGCCGCCGCCAUGACUCACCACCCA
rnacentral:lncRNA from 1 species